rnacentral:rRNA from 1 species
GAUGAACGCUAGCGGGAGGCCUAACACAUGCAAGCCGAGCGGUAUUGUUUCUUCGGAAAUGAGAGAGCGGCGUACGGGUGCGGAACACGUGUGCAACCUGCCUUUAUCUGGGGGAUAGCCUUUCGAAAGGAAGAUUAAUACUCCAUAAUAUAUUGAACGGCAUCGUUUAAUAUUGAAAGCUCCGGCGGAUAGAGAUGGGCACGCGUAAGAUUAGCUAGUUGGUGAGGUAACGGCUUACCAAGGCGAUGAUCUUUAGGGGGCCUGAGAGGGUGAUCCCCCACACUGGUACUGAGACACGGACCAGACUCCUACGGGAGGCAGCAGUGAGGAAUAUUGGUCAAUGGGUGCAAGCCUGAACCAGCCAUCCCGCGUGAAGGACGACUGCCCUAUGGGUUGUAAACUUCUUUUGUAUAGGGAUAAACCUACCCUCGUGAGGGUAGCUGAAGGUACUAUACGAAUAAGCACCGGCUAACUCCGUGCCAGCAGCCGCGGUAAUACGGAGGGUGCAAGCGUUAUCCGGAUUUAUUGGGUUUAAAGGGUCCGUAGGCGGACUUAUAAGUCAGUGGUGAAAGCCUGUCGCUUAACGAUAGAACUGCCAUUGAUACUGUAAGUCUUGAGUAUAUUUGAGGUAGCUGGAAUAAGUAGUGUAGCGGUGAAAUGCAUAGAUAUUACUUAGAACACCAAUUGCGAAGGCAGGUUACCAAGAUAUAACUGACGCUGAGGGACGAAAGCGUGGGGAGCGAACAGGAUUAGAUACCCUGGUAGUCCACGCCGUAAACGAUGCUAACUCGUUUUUGGGCUUUAGGGUUCAGAGACCAAGCGAAAGUGAUAAGUUAGCCACCUGGGGAGUACGCUCGCAAGAGUGAAACUUAAAGGAAUUGACGGGGGCCCGCACAAGCGGUGGAUUAUGUGGUUUAAUUCGAUGAUACGCGAGGAACCUUACCAAGACUUAAAUGGGAAUUGACAGCUUUAGAAAUAGAGCUUUCUUCGGACAAUUUUCAAGGUGCUGCAUGGUUGUCGUCAGCUCGUGCCGUGAGGUGUUAGGUUAAGUCCUGCAACGAGCGCAACCCCUGUCACUAGUUGCCAUCAUUCAGUUGGGGACUCUAGUGAGACUGCCUACGCAAGUAGAGAGGAAGGUGGGGAUGACGUCAAAUCAUCACGGCCCUUACGUCUUGGGCCACACACGUAAUACAAUGGCCGGUACAGAGGGCAGCUACACAGCGAUGUGAUGCAAAUCUCGAAAGCCGGUCUCAGUUCGGAUUGGAGUCUGCAACUCGACUCUAUGAAGCUGGAAUCGCUAGUAAUUGCGCAUCAGCCAUGGCGCGGUGAAUACGUUCCCGGGCCU